GCCAGUGUGGUGUAGUGGUUAGAGUGUUGGAGUACAACCCUGAAGACCAGGGUUCGCUCCCCUGCUCAGCCA